GUGCACAUUUCAUUGUCUUUUUUUUCUUUACAUCAGGGAAAAAAGAUAUUUCUGAUGUGCUAAAUUAACCUUUGGAGGUAAAUUAGCAGCAUGACUUGUUUAUUAGCCAUUGUUGUCAGUCAUCUUCAGACAAAU